rnacentral:rRNA from 1 species
AGAGUUUGAUCCUGGCUCAGGACGAACGCUGGCGGCGUGCUUAACACAUGCAAGUCACGGGGGCUCGCAAGGGCAACCGGCGAACGGGUGCGUAACACGUGAGCAAUCUGCCGAUUUCAGGGGGAUAGCCGGCCCAACGGCCGGGUAAUACCGCAUAAGCUCAUCUAGGGGAGUCCCUGGGUGAGGAAACCUCCGGGGGAAAUCGAGGAGCUCGCGGCCUAUCAGCUAGUUGGCGGGGUAACGGCCCACCAAGGCGACGACGGGUAGCUGGUCUGAGAGGAUGGCCAGCCACAUUGGGACUGAGAGACGGCCCAGACUCCUACGGGAGGCAGCAGUGGGGAAUCUUGCUGCAAUGGCCGAAAGGCUGACGCAGCGACGCCGCGUGUGGGAUGAAGCAUUUCGGUGUGUAAACCACUGUUGCCCGGGACGAACAGCUUCUUUCGAGGAGCCUGACGGUACCGGGUUAGGAAGCACNNGC